GACGAACGCUGGCGGCGUGCUUAACACAUGCAAGUCGAACGGAAAGGCCCUGCUUGUGUGGGGUGCUCGAGUGGCGAACGGGUGAGUAACACGUGAGUGACCUGCCCUUGACUUUGGGAUAACUUCAGGAAACUGGGGCUAAUACCGGAUAGGAGCUCCUGCUGCAUGGUGGGGGUUGGAAAGUUUCGGCGGUUGGGGAUGGACUCGCGGCUUAUCAGCUUGUUGGUGGGGUAGUGGCUUACCAAGGCUUUGACGGGUAGCCGGCCUGAGAGGGUGACCGGCCACAUUGGGACUGAGAUACGGCCCAGACUCCUACGGGAGGCAGCAGUGGGGAAUAUUGCACAAUGGGCGGAAGCCUGAUGCAGCAACGCCGCGUGCGGGAUGACGGCCUUCGGGUUGUAAACCGCUUUCGCCUGUGACGAAGCGUGAGUGACGGUAAUGGGUAAAGAAGCACCGGCUAACUACGUG
rnacentral:rRNA from 1 species